rnacentral:rRNA from 1 species
AUUGAACGCUAGCGGGAUGCCUUACACAUGCAAGUCGAACGGAGUGGCGAACGGGUGAGUAAUGUAUCUGAACGUGCCCAGUAGCGGGGGAUAACUACGCGAAAGCGUAGCUAAUACCGCAUACUAUUGGAGCGGCCGAUAUCGGAUUAGCUAGUUGGUGGGGUAACGGAUCACCAAGGCGACGAUCCGUAGCUGGUUUGAGAGGAGGACCAGCCACACUGGGACUGAGAAAGGGCCCAGACUCCGACGGGAGGCAGCAGUGGGGAAUAUGGGACAAUGGGGGAAAGCCUGAUCCAGCCAUGCCGCGUGUGCGAUGAAGGCCUUCGGGUUGGAAAGCACUUUUGGCGGGAAAGCGGUACCUGCAGAAUAAGCACCGGCUAACUACGUGCCAGCAGCCGCGGUAAUUC